ACAGAUCGUUCAGAGUUUGAUCCUGGCUCAGGAUGAACGCUAGCGGCAGGCUUAACACAUGCAAGUCGCGGGGCAGCAGGGAUGUAGCAAUACAUUUGCUGGCGACCGGCGCACGGGUGCGUAACGCGUAUGCAACCUACCUUAUACAGGGAGAUAACCUUUCGAAAGAGAGACUAAAAUCCCAUAGUAUUAAUUAGAGGCAUCUUUAGUUAAUUAAAUCUUCGGAGGUAUAAGAUGGGCAUGCGUAGCAUUAGUUAGAUGGAGAGGUAACGGCUCACCAUGACUACGAUGCUUAGGGGUCCUGAGAGGGAAGUCCCCCACACUGGUACUGAGACACGGACCAG
rnacentral:rRNA from 1 species